ACGUACACUCCUACGGGAGGCAGCAGUGGGGAAUAUUGGACAAUGGGCGCAAGCCUGAUCCAGCCAUGCCGCGUGAGUGAUGAAGGCCCUAGGGUUGUAAAGCUCUUUCACCGGUGAAGAUAAUGACGGUAACCGGAGAAGAAGCCCCGGCUAACUUCGUGCCAGCAGCCGCGGUAAUACGAAGGGGGCUAGCGUUGUUCGGAUUUACUGGGCGUAAAGCGCACGUAGGCGGACUAUUAAGUCAGGGGUGAAAUCCCGGGGCUCAACCCCGGAACUGCCUUUGAUACUGGUAGUCUUGAGUUCGAGAGAGGUGAGUGGAACUCCGAGUGUAGAGGUGAAAUUCGUAGAUAUUCGGAGGAACACCAGUGGCGAAGGCGGCUCACUGGCUCGAUACUGACGCUGAGGUGCGAAAGCGUGGGGAGCAAACAGGAUUAGAAACCCCAGUAGUCCCAUGAU
rnacentral:rRNA from 1 species